UAUAGGGUCAACUGAUGCAAAUGACUAUGAUGGUUACACCCAACAUCAACAAAGAGCUGCAUUACCUUAACAAGGAAGAUCGGUUGCUGCGCUGGCUUGUGGUCAAACACCGAGAUGCAAAAUAUGGGCUGGAAUUUCUUAGUGAAGAGGACAGCAGAAAUGAACUCAGUAAGUUUCCUCGAAGCACUUUAUAUGAUAAUCAAGAUGUUGAUGAAGACGAUGACAACGACGAUGAAUAUGCUGUGGAUGAAGAAGAAGGAAAGCAGACAUAAGUAACUAGAAUGACAGGUGAACUUCAUUGGAUUCAAUAGUCAUUACGUUAUGAGGAUGAUGAAGAAUGUACUUAUCAAUGCCCCUCGCAUCAAACAUUUCUUGUCGAAACAGUUCACCUCCGACAAACCAUAUACUACUCAAGAAAUUGACGAAGUUAGAGAAGAAU